rnacentral:rRNA from 1 species
UACGUAGGUCUCGAACGUUGUGCGAAAUUACUGGGCGUAAAGGGUCCGUAGGCGGGCUGGUAAGUGGAAGGUGAAAUCCUACGGCUCAACCGUAGAAUUGCCUUCCAAACUGCUGGACUUGAGGCAGGGAGAGGUCGGCGGAAUUCCCGGUGUAGCCGUGAAACGCGUAGAUAUCGGGAGGAACACCAGUGGCGAAGGCGGCCGACUGGAACUGUCCUGACGCUGAGGGACGAAAGCGUGGGGAGCAAACAGG